rnacentral:rRNA from 1 species
AUUGAACGCUGGCGGCAGGCCUAACACAUGCAAGUCGAGCGGGGUUUUCGGACCUAGCGGCGGACGGGUGAGUAAUGCGUAGGAAGCUGCCCGAUAGAGGGGGAUACCAGUUGGAAACGACUGUUAAUACCGCAUAAUGUCUACGGACCAAAGUGUGGGACAUUCGGGCCACAUGCUAUCGGAUGCGCCUACGUGGGCUUAGCUAGUUGGUGAGGUAAUGGCUCACCAAGGCGACGAUCUCUAGCUGGUUUGGGAGGAUGAUCAGCCACACAUGAAGUGCGACACGGUGCGCAGUCCUACGGGAGUCAGCAGUGGGGAAUAUGGGAAAAGGGGCGCAAGCCUGAUCCAGCCGUGCGGGGUGUGUGAAGAAGGCCUUCGGGUUGUUAAGCACUUUCAGCGAGGAGGAAGGGUGGUGUGUUAAUAGCACAUCAUUUUGACGUUACUCGCAGAAGAAGCACCGGCUAACUCUGUGCCAGCCGCCGCGGUAACAC